GUGGACCGUAGUAGCUCACCCAUUAAAUACUCUUGGGGCUUUGUCAAUUCAACCAAAUACCCUACCCUGUGUUCAACUGUCUUUUACCCCCCAAGAGAAAGAGACCAAAGACAGCUCUAGCCUGCUUAUCUGCAAGAGACACGCAUUUGAAGCAAGGAUGACUAAGAUCUAUUUCAAGCAAGAGCAUGAUUUUGAGAAAAGGCGUGCUGAGGCUGCAAGAAUCAGGGAGAAAUACUCAGACAGAAUUCCUGUGAUUGUGGAGAAGGCUGAGAGAAGUGAUAUUCCUAACAUCGACAAGAAAAAAAACAAAUGCUAUUGUGCUUUAAAUAUGCAAAAGGUGCGUUUUCCACUGUGAUUAACAUUUAUCAAUAUGCGGAUUGCUAAAGCUAAAGCAUGCUAUCUUUUUAUCAAAUGGUUGAUGGUUAUUUUGAAAUAUAAGAGAAAUUUGUUUUCAUGUGUCCCCUUCAGAUUUAAAUUAUCGGCGUAGGAAUGCUCAGAUGGCGAGCCGGGCCUCAGUAGUGGUUCAUAUUCUCAUCUAUUUCCGGAAACGGAACGUGCACAGACCUUUUUAUGCCCUCUUUCUCUUUCUCUCGCUCUCUCUGUCUGUCUCUGUCUCUUUCUCUCUCAUAAUUUUCUAUCCUCUUGCAGGCCCACGGACACAGAGGCCAGAAUUGUGAAAGUAAGAUCAAAUGGCUUCAUUGUUUUUGUGCCCAAGUACGGUGUUGAGGGGCCUGUCUACUUGACAGCAAGAGGUGAUAAAGGAGGUGGCGGAGAAUGGUUGGUAGAUGAGCAGCAGCAGAAGGUUAAGAAGAGUGAUGGUAGCAUUUCAUAUGUUGUUCUUCAGACAGUGAGGAUUCAUAUGGAGGUUGUGGAGCCCCAACCAAACCGGCCUAGGCUCCAACUUACCCUUAUCUAAAAGAUGUUACUUUUUCUGUUUUUUGGUAUUUAAAAGAUUACUUAAUUUUCGCCAACAGAUAAAAAUCCGCUUGUUUUACUUUUUUUACACUGUAUAUAGAAUAGUGGCUUAUGAGCUGUUUGUGCAGAGCAUAGCGAUGUUAUUGAUAGGUGAAUUAAACCACUGGGUAUGGCCCACAGUAUGUAAAAAUAUUAUUAUUAUUAUUAUUUGUUUCCGAGUUGAUUUUUAAAUUA